rnacentral:rRNA from 1 species
GGCUAACUCCGUGCCAGCAGCCGCGGGUAAUACGGAGGGUGCGAGCGUUAAUCGGAAGUUACUAGGGCGUAAAGCGCAUGCAGGCGGCCUGUUAAGUCAGAUGUGAAAGACCCGGGGCGUUAACCUCGGAAUUGCAUUUGUAAACUGGCAGGCUAGAGUCGUUGUAGAGGGGGGUAGGAAUUUCUAGGUGUAGCGGUGAAAUGCGUAGAGAUCUGAAGGAAUACCAGUGGCGAAGGCGGCCCCCCUGGACAAAGACUGACGCUCAGAUGCGAAAAGCGUGGGGAGCAAACAGGAUUAGAUACCCUGGUAG